rnacentral:lncRNA from 1 species
CUGAUGUGGUAUACUCCUCAAUGCCAUCGGAAGAAUCCCGGAACAUGUUCCAGUCUGUGAUAGCAAAACAGUCCUUUAGUUCAGCGUCUGCUUCAUCUGACCACUUUUUUAUUGACCGAGUCACUGGUGCUUCCUGCUUUAAUUUGUGCUUGUAAGCAGGAAUCAGGAGGAUAGAGUUGUGGUCGGAUUUACAAAAUGGAGGGCGAGGGAGAGCUUUGUACGCGUCUCUGUGUGUGGAGUACAGGUGAUCUAGAAUUGUUUUCCCUCUGGUUGCACAUUUAACAUGUUGAUAGAAAUUUGGUAGAACUGAUUUUAGUUUCCCAGCAUUGAAGUCUCCGGGCACUAGGAGCGCCGCCUCUGGGUGAGUGGUUUCCUGUUUGCUUAUUUCCUUAUACAGCUGACUGAGUGCGGUCUUAGUGCCAGCAUCUGUCUGUGGUGGUAAAUAAACAGCCACGAAAAGUAUAGCUGAAAACUCCCUAGGCAAGUAGUGUGGCCUGCAAUUUACCACAAUAUACUCUACUUCAGGCGAGCAAAAUCUAAAGACUUCCUUAGAUUUCGUGCACCAGCUGUUGUUUACAAAUAUGCACAGACCGCUCCCCCUCGUCUUAUCGGAGUGUGCAGUUCUAUCUUGCCGGUGCAGCGUAUAUCCCGCUAGCUGAAUAUCCAUGUCAUCAUUCAGCCACGAUUCCGUGAAACAUAGGAUAUUACAGUUUUUGAUGUCCCGUUGGUAGGAUAUUCGUGAUCGUACCUCGUCUAAUUUAUUGUCCAAUGAUUGUACGUUGGCGAGUAAUAUUGACGGUAACGGCAGCUUUCCCACUCGCCUUCUCCGGGUCCUGACAGGGCAUCCGGCUCUUUGUCCUCUGUACCUGCGUCGCUUCCUCUUGCAAAUAACGAGGAUGUCGGCCUUGUUGUAGAAAAAAUCUUUGUCUAAUCCGAGGUGAGUGAUUGCUGUCCUGAUAUCCAGAAGCUCUUUUUUGCCGUAAGAUACGGUUGCAGAAACAUUAUGAACAAAAUAAGUUAUAAAUAACGCAAAAAAACACAUAAUAGCACAAUUGGUUGGGCGCCAUAAAACUGCUGCCAUUUUAAUCAGGACCAGUGUGGUGGUACAGGCUGGGAAGGCUGAGGGUUAUAUGGACCAGUGUGGUGGUACAGGCUGGGAAGCCUGAGGGUUAUAUGGACCAGUGUGGUGGUACAGGCUGGGAAGGCUGAGGGUUAUAUGGACCAGUGUGGUGGUACAGGCUGGGAAGGCUGAGGGUUAUAUGGACCAGUGUGGUGGUACAGGCUGGGAAGGCUGAGGGUUAUAUGGACCAGUGUGGUGGUACAGACUGGCAAGGCUGAGGGUUAUAUGGACCAGUGUGGUGGUACAGGCUGGGAAGGCUGAGGGUUAUAUGGACCAGUGUGGUGGUACAGGCUGGGAAGGCUGAGGGUUAUAUGGACCAGUGUGGUAGGUACAGGCUGGGAAGGCUGAGGGUUAUAUGGACCAGUGUGGUAGGUACAGACUGGGAAGGCUGAGGGUUAUAUGGACCAGUGUGGUGGUACAGACUGGGAAGGCUGAGGGUUAUAUGGACCAGUGUGGUGGUACAGGCUGGGAAGGCUGAGGGUUAUAUGGACCAGUGUGGUAGGUACAGACUGGGAAGGCUGAGGGUUAUAUGGACCAGACAUUUAGUGGGUGCUAGAAUAAAAGCUGUGUACGGUACUCACGCCUGGCAGCAUGACAUGUCCCCGUUGGUUUGACAAUAGCAGUUCAUGCAAUCACUGGUCCUCCAGCGGGACCCAAUAUCAUGCCACGUCCCAUCCUUGUUGUAAAGACACUGCCUCAUACCUAUACAAUACAUGCCUAUUCAAUAUAUCAUAUCAAUGUGUUUGUUGUCUUUUUCAAUGAGAUUCAAGAUUCAAGUGUAUUAAAAACAUCAUUGCAUAACAAUAUGAAAUGUCCUUUACAGGUCAUAAAAUAAAAUACAAAAAUAAAACCCUAAAAUCACAUAAUGAUUUGGAACAAGAGGUUAUUUUAUUAGGUUGAUAAAUGUACAGGAGUGUGUACAGGAGUGUGUGUGUGUGCGUGCGUGCGUGCGUGCAUGUUACAACACCAUUUACUUUUGCCCAGAGCCCUAUGGUUGUGUGUGUGCGCGUGUGUGUUAACAGCUGGUUAUCUUUGUCCUUUACCUGGUUCUGCUGGUUUAAACCAGCAGCCAGCAUGGAAAAGUGGCAGCAGUACACACAGGAUUACAGCUACAGCCAAGGACCUCUUCCCAGGGAGAAAGAAGAAAAGCAUGUUAUCUGAAUCCCCUUUAUUCUCCUAGUAGGCUACAUUUACAGUACUUGCUGACCACAAUGAAGAGAAUAUACAGACAGGAUACAUAGAUGUAGACAGAGGGCAAUAAAACAUAGGCCUUUCAUCAAACCGUCUAAACAUUAAAGAUGAAAAACUAGCAAAAUGAACUUUAACAUUUUAACAUGUGGAGGUGAUAGGUCAUUAACCCUCCUCUGGAUCUCUGGGUAAUAAAACAUAGACCUUUCAUCAAACCGUCUAAACAUUAAAAGAUGAAAAACUAGCAUAGUGAACUGACACAUUUGAACAUGUGGAGGUGAUAGGUCAUUAACCCUCUAGAUCUCUGGGGAAUAAAAUAACCUAAAGUCAUUUCUAAUUGUAAUUACUCAUACAUAACAUGCAAUGAUAGAAGGAACUUACCAUGAUUGACAGGAAUUUAGACUGGAUUCACAGGUAGAUUCUGUAGGUUCUGUUGAGCUGUAGAGCAAGGUGUCAUUCAAUAAUCCUCGCCAUAACAUCAGACAAUAAGCACAACAAGAUAAGGAAACUCCAUCAGUCUCUUACCUUCAGUAACAAGAUGCUAGAGCUGGUCUGUGUGAUCAGGAGUCAAGUCCA